UGCGCGCGCCCGGGGCGGGGACCCGCUCCCCUUGCUGGGCGCUCCCUCGCGGCGCAGUGCAGUGCCGGGGCCGCGGGCAGGGAGCCCCCAGGCAAGACUUCAGGUCGUUACUAGCUUUGAAGUAAGACUUUUCCUGUCCCCUGCCCCUGAGCCUCGGGGGCCCGGACUCUCCCUGACCGCAGAGCUAUGGGUCACCCAAAUCCGGCGCUGGCCUGGCUCUACCAAGUCCGCCGCUCGCCGGCCAGAGUGUGGGCGUCCUUCCUCCGGAGCCUCGCCAAAGCUGGCGUGGCGCUUCUCCGCUGACAGCUCUCCUCACUUCACAGUCCUUGGGUAUUUAAAGUCAUCGUGGUAACCCAUCCCCUGAUCUGGAUGCCUUUAAUUUUCUUAUGAAUUUACUGCGCUAGAGACGUUCAUUCCUUAAAACGCAUUGACUGGGGUCGCGCUUGGCUCAGGGCGCUGUCCCAGGCUCCUUGUCGCCCAAGUAUCCCAAAGCUCCCAUCCCUGCCCGCGCGGCCGGGUCAGUGAGCCCGCGCUGUUUGGAGGACGCCCAAAGAUUGCUGCAAGCGAGGAAGGCAUUCGGGCUCCCGACUGGAGUUCCAGGUCCUGGAAGAACGACUGAGAGUUGAAAGGUUACGCUCCAGGCCGGGGCUCCAUCGCGCGUUUGCAACCAUCAGACAGAGGGCCCAGACAGGAUCUUCCUAAGACGGACUGCCUCAGCCCCCAUAACUAAGCUGUGAAAACACUCUCAGUUUUAGGAGCAGAAUGGAAGUCACUCCAUCAGAAUAAAGCGUUUGUGGAGCUACGCUGGCGAUUCCUAAAACCCUGAAAAUCCUCUCUCAGGACGGCGAAUUGAGGUUGUUCUCUCCGUGCACAUUUGCGCAGUAGAAAUGGAUGGCUGGUUCGCUGAUCUGUCCGCAGCAGCAAAAAAAAAAAUCUUUAACAAGGGAACUUGAAAGAUAAUCACUGUGAUGAUACAACAACAAAAAGCUCAAGAUGAUCUUGCAAUACGGUUGACCAUGGAGACAACUGAACAAUCCCCCAACAGUGAAGAUCUGGAGCUGUAGGCUUUCCUGAAUUGGUCAACCUCUUGCAAGUGGAAGGAUGACCGAGAAAGGGACUAAGAGACUGAAUAUACAGAUGGACAGAGGCCAGCCCAUAUAUGACAAUAGAAUGCUGACUCGCAACCUCUGCAGCAACCAGUUCAGGAGCCCAUCUGGAAUUCUGGAAGGAGGCAGCCUCUUGUGGCUCCCAUCUGGCAACAUAGAGCAACUGCUGCCAAAUAGGAAUGGAAUUGUGGCAGAUUUAAGAUGCUGACAAAACAAAUUCUGAUUCUAAGCGACUUGGCCAGAUUCCUAUCUACAGAUCAACCAGGAUUUUCUGGUAAAUAAAAC